rnacentral:lncRNA from 1 species
GAAACACGCAGAGCAAGAGAACUUUUUUAACCCUCGAAAACGGGUCCACGGUUCGUCCGUGUCUCUCAAAUCACGCGUCUGUCGCUGGUUCAUAAACCCCUGAUGGUGGCGUCUCGGUCCAAGUGAGAAGGCGAAGACGUUAACGCCCCACGGUGCCGAUGUUGCAAGUUGCGGCUCCUUGGAGCAAUGUAUCAAAGCUACAGUCGUUGCCUAAAUGGGGAGCAUUUGCUGGAAAGGCCGAGACAUCAUUUGCAGCCAGAGAGCGCCUGCACUGGAAACGUUUGCGUCUCACAACGAACCCUCUUUACUUGCUGGUAACGGGGUGUUUGUUUGUAAGCCCCUGCAUACAGAUAUUUUUUCACUGAUUCCCAACAAUACAAAUAGGUGUCUCUAUUUCUCAGCACGUACAUGUAUCGCUGCAUAUAUGAGACUCUCUUCGGGGUAAGAAUGCGAACUUGAGAGCUUCAUUGAGUCGAGCAUUGCGCUGGAAGCGCGGUGUGCAGAUGCCGGGAGGUCGUGCACAAGAAGCACGCGUGCUUUAGAUUUUCGCCGCCGGCGUUUUUUUUCUUUUUCCGGUGAUGCCGGACCUGUCCAGUUCCUCCUAACUCAACGCAUGCAUGAUUAUGUUCAGUUGUGCACGCAAAACGCCUGGAACACCCUCGACUUCACUUCUUUUCUGAAUGUGUUUCUCUGAGCAGCCAGUCGCCGCCGCGUGUGCUUCCCCCGAAUGCGUUUGGCCUCUUUCGUGUUCGCUUUUGGAGUGAACCUUACGAUUCCGGCCACGCCGAGGGUUCCUCGUCAGCGGCGUUCAUUCCGAGUUCUUCUCCAUCUCCGCUUCGUCUCCCCCCGUCGAAAUUGCUGUCGUCUAUCGAGACCGGAGAUGGUUCCUCCGCGUCGUCAGCGAACAUGAUCCUUCCCUUCCCCCCCAGCGCUCUCGCUUUCCUCCCUGGCGUCUCCCCUGCGGAUGCGGCGUCCUCGCUCGCAAUCUCAUCGUACGCGUUUCUGGGGUUCCGUAAGGCGGUUCCUUCUCUGGGAGUCGUUGAACUGCCGAGGUCCAUCUCAGGGAGACGCUGAUCGCCUGAAGUCUUGCGUUUUUCGCCUUCUGUCCUCUCAGGCGCGCCUCCCGUGGCGCUGCCGUUCGCCUUGGCGACAAUCCCCGAAGGUUCCAUCUCGCUGCGAAAAGGGCCUUUCCCGACUUUCGCUGUCUCUGUAAAAAGUGCGUCGUUGUGGAAACCCCGUCGCUUUCCCGCAGAUCUUCCGCCGCAAUCCGCGAAACGCGUCGGAGUCUCCAGGCGGGAGAUCAGCCCCCGCGAGGCGUUCCCUCGCUUUCUGAGGCAGUCGGGCACGUGUCGUGAAAUGCAGCGAACAAACUGGCGAACAGACCCUCAACAGGCGAAAGAACGAGGGAUUGACCUGAAGUUUGUGGACUCAAAAAGGCGUGUGUGUGCUGAUCUUUAGGGCAUGCCCCUGGAUUAGCACGGCAUCCGUGAACGCGGUCUUCCUGCGAACGCUUCUCACGAGGCAGCCGGGUCACAUGCUUGUCAGUCCAGUGAAAAGACUCUGGAAGUUGCCGUCCGUCGCGCAG